AUCCUUUGUGUAAUCAAUUUAAAUGUUACAAUUACAUGUAAUUACAAUCUGAUUUAAAAAUUGCGGUUAAAUCUAAAUGAAAGGGCACAAUGGCUUGUUAAGCCGGGAAACAAAGCCGUUAAUUUUUGUUCAGUUGUUAUCCUUUUGUUUGGUUAAAAAGCUGACUUAAUUAUUGAUAAUUACAUAUUAAAUACAUUUGAUUUUUUUUCUAAUUCUGCCUCUAUUUUAUUAACAGGAGUUCAAUCGACUAAUGACAAUCUAAAUAAUAGAUAUAAUUGCAACAAUCGCGGACCUCGGAUACCAUUUACAUCUCAUCAAGUACAAAUAUUGGAGAAGAAAUUUGCCUCAACAAGUUACCUCAGCAGCUAUGAGGUUUGGAGUUUAUCGGAACAGUUAAACAUCUCAGAGAAUCGGGUUAAAAUUUGGUUUCAAAAUCGACGAGCCCGAAGGAAACGAGAAGAAAGAUUACCCGAUGAAGUCGAUAAACAGAUAUCCAAUGAUUUAAUUGCCACUGAUUGUGAACAGUAUCUUCCAAGGAGUCCGAAAUGAAAUUACAAUCAAGAAUCUCAGAGAACUGAUGGGACCAAAUUAGCCACCAACUGAAUGUACAAAACAGCCGAAACCAAAAAGCCUAAAUGAAGCAAAACUGCCAAAUUAAAGACCUAUUUAUUCAACUAAUUUGUUGAUUUUCAAUUGUCCAUCUGAUUACAAUGACAAACUUGCGAGGAUAUAGCUAUUUAACAAGACUCAGCGCUAUCAAAGCUGAUGAAAUGUUACCAUUUUGUUCGUGAUCUUAUAAUGAGAAAUUAGUUAGUUUGAUUAAUUAAACAGAUCGAUAAUUUUUUACAAUUUUUUCCAAUAAAACGGAAAAAAUAAAAAAAUGAAAUCAUUUCAAGCUGGCAAGGUAAAAAUACUGCAAGCUAAGGUUAAUCAUUAUUAUUGGAGAAAUGUUUUGAUUCUUUGAUUAUUAACAAAUCAUUAACUGUUUUAUUUAUUCAACUCUACUCUCUACUUAAUCAUGCUGAGAAAGUUGUCAACAGGUCAGACAAUUAUUGUUGAUUAGAUUAUUUAACCUGUUGGAAUGAGGAUUGAUGCAGCAAAAUAAAAGUGGCAACAAGCGUAAUCCGUGAUGAAACAAAAAUGUAUCCUUGAAGCAAUGGACAAUUAGUCUCAUUUAGACUAGACAAUUAACAUUCCAAUCACAGUGAAUUAUUGAUUUUAAUGUAUUUUCAAUCAUUUUGAUGACUAUAAUUUGUUGAAUUGAUUAAAAUUGAAAGCAAAAAUAACAAGGCAAUGAGCAAAACAAAAACAAAACCUACGCUUUGUGAACCAAUAAACUGGUUAACUUUUGGGUUUUCAUUGAAGGUGAAGUAAAUUAAAGAUUAUCAGUUGUCAUUCUAUUUACAUUUACAAUUAAUUGAUUUACUCAUAAAGUGGCUCCAAUAAUCAAUUACAAACGUGGUUAGAAUCAAAUUAUUUGCGAAUCGCAAUCAACUGAUCUAACUAGACGAAGUAGAAAAGUGUAGUUUGCUUUUAUGUAAAUCUGAUCAACUUUUAUAACAACCUUAAUCAAUUAUACCUUUAAGCUGCUGCCGAUCAGUACAAAUCUGACCGAACGAAUUAAAUAAUUAAUAAUCAAUCAAGGGUUAAAUCAAUUUAAUUUCUCAUUCUAAUAGCUGUUGGAUGAAUGGAAACAAAUCUAAUGUUAAUAAACAAUAAUUAAGUUCACAUUGGUUGGCAAUAAAAUAUUUUUUAAUUUCCCUCCAAAAACCUAAAGAAGAGGCAAAAUUUGUAAACUCAUGUGUUAUUUUAAUGCGUCUCAAUUUUUUCUUGUGUUACUUGCAACUUUAUAUUUUAAUCAUUGCUUUAAUUGUCAUUACUAUCAAAGUUUACAAUAUUUAUUAAUAUUAUUUUGUUUGCUUGGAGCGAUUAACAUUUAUUAAAAAUUUCAACUGUGACCUUUAGGCUUAUUUUGUGCUAUAAAUUAAAGUAUCGAUUUCAUCAAAAAAAAUUUUUGUUUUUUCCUUCGCCUUUCUUUUAGGUCGCCAUGUUUACUCUCUCUAUUUCUCUUUCUUCUCUUUCUCAAGCCAAUUAAUUCAACUGAAAAUGACCUGACUCUGGACAUACUUAAUUGUAUUAUGUUAACAUCGAUCAUCUCAUUAAUACCUGUUGGCCUCCUCAUAAUCAACAGUAACAUCAACAUCAUCAUUAUUGUGAAUAAAUCAUAAAAUCUUUUCCCGCUCUUCAUCAUAUGUUCAACUGAAUCUUGGGUGUUGUUACAAGCUCAACAUGAUUGCAAAAUUGUUUCAGCCUGGAUCAAUCAAUUUGAUACCAUCUUGAUAAUCACUGAUAUCAGCCUGUCCAAGUAUGCAGAUGUGAAUGUUAACUGUUCAUGACCACCAACCAGCAAGCUAAUUGUGUAAACUUGUACAGAUAUGUAGAUUGGUACCUGAUUGAUCAAUUUCGAUACAGAUUUCGAUUAUUAUCGUUGACAACACAAUAAGCACAAAUUUGAUUUUGAUCAUCGCAAUUUGGCAUCUUCCGCAACUAAACCAUAGAGAGAACAUAAUGGAAAACUUGAAAUUACAUUUACUCCAUUCAUGUGAUCGUUUUGAUGGAAAAACUUUCAGGGAAAUUAAUUGUGAAUGUUAUCAAUAUCAUUGAUACAAUAUGUCAGCAAUCAAUCCUGCACAUGUUACGAAGGAUCAGUCACUUCAACUCUACUGCUGCAAUUACAAUUUGCAAUUGUUGAAUGUUAACUUUUUUCAUCUUAACAUUGUUCUCUUAUAAUCUAUGCUGAUCAUCAGAUUUAAUCAUAAAGUACCUGAAUCUUGUUAAUUUUCAUGGCGAGUACCACCAUUCAAAUGGGUCCCAUUCAAUUAUUUUUGCCAGCAACAAUUAUCUGACCUCAAACAAUGUUUGUCGAGUAAAGCUGUUUAAUUUUGCUAUUUAAAUCAAAUAAUUACUGAUUAAAGGCAGAUUAACUGAACAAAACUGAAAUGAAUUAUACAAACCUUGAUGAUCAAGUGAAAAUUA